GGGGAAUUUUGGACAAUGGGGGCAACCCUGAUCCAGCCAUCCCGCGUGUGCGAUGAAGGACUUCGGGUUGUAAAGCACUUUUGGCAGGGAAGAAACAGCCUGGGCUAAUAUCCCGGGCGACUGACGGUACCUGCAGAAUAAGCACCGGCUAACUCCGUGCCAGCAGCCGCGGUAAUACGGAGGGUGCAAGCGUUAUCCGGAUUCACUGGGUUUAAAGGGUGCGUAGGCGGAUAUGUAAGUCAGUGGUGAAAUCAACGGGCUCAACCUGUUAACUGCCAUUGAUACUGUGUAUCUUGAAUAUGAGAGAGGUAGGCGGAAUGUUGCAUGUAGCGGUGAAAUGCUUAGAUAUGCUACGGAACACCGAUUGCGAAGGCAGCUUACUAUUUCGUAAUUGACGCUGAGGCACGAAAGCGUGGGUAGCGAAC
rnacentral:rRNA from 1 species